GACGAACGCUGGCGGCGUGCUUAACACAUGCAAGUCGAACGGAAAGGCCCUGCUUUUGUGGGGUGCUCGAGUGGCGAACGGGUGAGUAACACGUGAGUAACCUGCCCUUGACUUUGGGAUAACUUCAGGAAACUGGGGCUAAUACCGGAUAGGAGCUCCUGCUGCAUGGUGGGGGUUGGAAAGUUUCGGCGGUUGGGGAUGGACUCGCGGCUUAUCAGCUUGUUGGUGGGGUAGUGGCUUACCAAGGCUUUGACGGGUAGCCGGCCUGAGAGGGUGACCGGCCACAUUGGGACUGAGAUACGGCCCAGACUCCUACGGGAGGCAGCAGUGGGGAAUAUUGCACGAUGGGCGGAAGCCUGAUGCAGCAACGCCGCGUGCGGGAUGACGGCCUUCGGGUUGUAAACCGCUUUCGCCUGUGACGAAGCGUGAGUGACGGUAAUGGGUAAAGAAGCACCGGCUAACUACGUGCCAGCAGCCGCGGUGAUACGUAGGGUGCGAGCGUUGUCCGGAUUUAUUGGGCGUAAAGGGCUCGUAGGUGGUUGAUCGCGUCGGAAGUGUAAUCUUGGGGCUUAACCCUGAGCGUGCUUUCGAUACGGGUUGACUUGAGGAAGGUAGGGGAGAAUGGAAUUCCUGGUGGAGCGGUGGAAUGCGCAGAUAUCAGGAGGAACACCAGUGGCGAAGGCGGUUCUCUGGGCCUUUCCUGACGCUGAGGAGCGAAAGCGUGGGGAGCGAACAGGCUUAGAUACCCUGGUAGUCCGCGCUGUAAACGGUGGGUACUAGGUGUGGGGUCCAUUCCACGGGUUCCGUGCCGUAGCUAACGCUUUAAGUACCCCGCCUGGGGAGUACGGCCGCAAGGCUAAAACUCAAAGGAAUUGACGGGGCCCCGCACAAGCGGCGGAGCAUGCGGAUUAAUUCGAUGCAACGCGUAGAACCUUACCUGGGUUUGACAUGGAUCGGGAGUGCUCAGAGAUGGGUGUGCCUCUUUUGGGGUCGGUUCACAGGUGGUGCAUGGCUGUCGUCAGCUCGUGUCGUGAGAUGUUGGGUUAAGUCCCGCAACGAGCGCAACCCUUGUUCACUGUUGCCAGCACGUUAUAGUGGGGACUCAGUGGAGACCGCCGGGGUCAACUCGGAGGAAGGUGGGGAUGACGUCAAGUCAUCAUGCCCCUUAUGUCCAGGGCUUCACGCAUGCUACAAUGGCUGGUACAGAGAGUGGCGAGCCUGUGAGGGUGAGCGAAUCUCGGAAAGCCGGUCUCAGUUCGGAUUGGGGUCUGCAACUCGACCUCAUGAAGUCGGAGUCGCUAGUAAUCGCAGAUCAGCAACGCUGCGGUGAAUACGUUCCCGGG
rnacentral:rRNA from 1 species